AUGGCAAAAUAUUGGUGGGGUAGUUCUCUUGAUAAGAGAUCCUUACAUUGGCUGUCUUGGGAUAAGUUAACUGAGCCUAAGAUCAAAGGAGGGAUGGGUUUCAGAGAUCCUCACCUAUUCAACUUGGCCAUGUUGGGCAAACAGGGAUGGCGCCUGUUAACACAUCCCGAUACUUUGUGUGCCCGAGUUCUGAAGGGCAAGUACUACCCACACACUGAUUUCUUGCAAGCAACAGCGCCUGCUCGUGCUUCGUCGACGUGGAAGGCGAUCGUGGCUGGU
rnacentral:rRNA from 1 species